GGUAGCGGCUACAAGCAAGCGCCAGGAUCCUUCAUAUUCUCGCUUCGCAACAAAGAAAAUCUCCCGCCUUUUAAAGUUCUGCUGAAUGAUCAAAAUGGGAACGCAAUUCGCACAGGAAAUAAUUAUGGACCAACAUUUGGAAAUGGUCAUGAUAUAUACAUAUCUGAUGAUGCUGCUUCGAAUACCAAUUCAUACACAUAUUUUAAUUAUGCCUACCAAACUCCAUCUGGUGUCAGCGACACAAGGACCAUCCUGGCAGGAACCUACAACUUUCAACCGUCAGAAGUUGAAGUUUUCCAUAUCGGCUAGAACUUAUCUCAAUAUAUAUUCGUGCACUAAAUAUUCAUAUUUCUCAAACUAAAUUUAACGUGCUCAUGCAACGAAAUUUCCC